UACAGAGGUCUCGAGCGUUGUUCGGAAUCACUGGGCGUAAAGGGUGCGUAGGCCGCACGGUAAGUCAGAGGUGAAAUCCCGGAGCUCAACUCCGGAAUGGCCUCCGAUACUGCCGUGCUCGAGGACUGGAGAGGAGAUUGGAAUUCACAGUGGAGCAGUGAAAUGCGUAGAUAUUGUGAGGAACACUAGUGGCGAAGGCGAAUCUCUGGACAGUUCCUGACGCUGAGGCACGAAGGCCAGGGGAGCAAACGGG
rnacentral:rRNA from 1 species